GCUCAGAUUGAACGCUGGCGGCAGGCCUAACACAUGCAAGUCGAGCGGUAGCACAGGGAGCUUGCUCCUGGGUGACGAGCGGCGGACGGGUGAGUAAUGUCUGGGAAACUGCCCGAUGGAGGGGGAUAACUACUGGAAACGGUAGCUAAUACCGCAUAACGUCUUCGGACCAAAGUGGGGGACCUUCGGGCCUCACACCAUCGGAUGUGCCCAGAUGGGAUUAGCUAGUAGGUGAGGUAAUGGCUCACCUAGGCGACGAUCCCUAGCUGGUUAGAGAGGAUGACCAGCCACACUGGAACUGAGACACGGUCCAGACUCCUACGGGAGGCAGCAGUGGGGAAUAUUGCAC
rnacentral:rRNA from 1 species